rnacentral:rRNA from 1 species
UCCAGACUCCUACGGGAGGCAGCAGUGAGGAAUAUUGGUCAAUGGCCGAGAGGCUGAACCAGCCAAGUCGCGUGAGGGAUGACGGCCCUACGGGUUGUAAACCUCUUUUGUCGGGGAGCAAAGAGAGUCACGUGUGGCUCAUUGAGAGUACCCGAAGAAAAAGCAUCGGCUAACUCCGUGCCAGCAGCCGCGGUAAUACGGAGGAUGCGAGCGUUAUCCGGAUUUAUUGGGUUUAAAGGGUGCGCAGGCGGAAUGUCAAGUCAGCGGUAAAAUUUCGGGGCUCAACCCCGUCGUGCCGUUGAAACUGGCGUUCUUGAGUGAGCGAGAAGUAUGCGGAAUGCGUGGUGUAGCGGUGAAAUGCAUAGAUAUCACGCAGAACUCCGAUUGCGAAGGCAGCAUACCGGCGCUCAACUGACGCUCAUGCACGAAAGCGUGGGUAUCGAACAGGAUUAGAUACCCUGUA